UCAAUAAGCGGAGGAAAAGAAACUAACAAGGAUUCCCCUAGUAACGGCGAGUGAAGCGGGAAGAGCUCAAAUUUGAAAUCUGGCGGCCUUUGGUCGUCCGAGUUGUAGUCUGGAGAAGCGUCUUCCGCGCCGGACCGUGUACAAGUCCCUUGGAACGGGGCGUCAUAGAGGGUGAGAAUCCCGUCUUUGACACGGACCGCCGGUGCUUUGUGAUGCGCUCUCAAAGAGUCGAGUUGUUUGGGAAUGCAGCUCAAAACGGGUGGUAAAUUCCAUCUAAAGCUAAAUAUUGGCGAAAGACCGAUAGCGAACAAGUACCGUGAGGGAAAGAUGAAAAGCACUUUGGAAAGAGAGUUAAACAGUACGUGAAAUUGUUGAAAGGGAAACGCUUGAAGUCAGUCGCGUCUCUCGGGACUCAGCCUUGCUUUUGCCUGGCGUACUUCCUGGGGUGACGGGCCAGCAUCGAUUUUGACCGUCGGAGAAAGGCCUUGGGAAUGUGGCACCUCCGGGUGUGUUAUAGCCCUGGGUCGCAUGCGACGGUUGGGAUCGAGGACCGCAGCACGCCUUUUUGGCCGGGGUUCGCCCACGUAACGUGCUUAGGAUGCUGGCGUAAUGGCUUUAAGCGACCCGUCUUG
rnacentral:rRNA from 1 species